UACAGAGGGUGCAAGCGUUAAUCGGAAUUACUGGGCGUAAAGCGUGCGUAGACGGUUAUGUAAGUCAGGUGUGAAAGCCCCGGGCUCGACCUGGGAAUUGCAUUUGAGACUGCAUAGCUAGGGUGCGGAAGAGGGAAGCGGAAUUUCCGGUGUAGCGGUGAAAUGCGUAGAUAUCGGAAGGAACAUCAGUGGCGAAAGCGGCUUCCUGGUCCAGCACCGACGUUCAGGCACGAAAGCGUGGGGAGCAAACAGG
rnacentral:rRNA from 1 species